ncrna:unclassified sequences DTF805b RNA
AAGGAAGAAGCCGAAAAUCCUGAAAUAGAGUAGGCA